GCCUGAUCAAGGCUCACCACAGCCUCAACCUUCUUGGCUCAAGUGAUCAUCUCACCUCAGCCUCCAGAGUAGCUGAAGUACAGGUACAUGCCACUACACUCAGCUAAUUUUUGUGGUUUUUUUCUUUUUUUGUAGAGACAGGGUCUCACUAUAUUGCCCAGGCUGGUCUUGAACUCCUGGGCUCAAGUGAUCCUCCCGCCUCAGCCUCCCAAAGUGCUAGGAUUCCAUAUGUGAGCCACUACCCCUAGCCAGGUUAAUUUAUUUUUGAAGAAAGAAUAAUAUUUUUAUAAACUGAGUAUAUCCUUAGUUCAGUAUUUGUGAAGGCUAUGGCAGUCUACAGUGGUGUACAGUAAUGUCUUAGACCUUCACAUUCACUCCCCACUCACUCACUGACUCAUCCAGAGCAACUUCUACUCCUGCAAGCUCCAUUCAUGCACUUCUCCCGAUGUUACAGCUCCUCUACAAUCAACAGCGGAAUGAGAGGGGAGAAAAAAAUCAUACCAGUCUCAUGAGAGCUAAAAUGACCCUCCCAAGAUGAAAGAGCAAGCUACAAGAGAACCAAGGUCUCCAGACUCUAGCGUCUCCCCAGUGAUAGCACAGCCAUUAUUCCUCAGGAAAAGAAAACCAUGAACAGCAUCUGGAGAGGUCAAUCACUUCCACAACCACCCUGCCUGUCCCUUCUGAGAAGGGACCAAAUCCUACCAUUCCAGAGCAAGGCUGCUCAUGUGUAAUCUCCGGAGUCCUUUCUGGAUCUUCUCUAUGACUUAAUCCAAACAGUGAGACAUCUGUUUGAAUUCCACCAUUCCACAACAUACCUAACCCUCAACAGGACUCGCUUUUAGAAAAUGGUUUCAAAGUAACUUAAGUUCCACACUGUGAAUCUACAUUUUCUGGCUAUUUAUAAAUUUGUUGCCAGUUGCCUCAAGUUUACUUUAAUCAACUGUAAUAGACCAAAAUAUAUAAGUUAAGCCUACGACAUCCUCCCCUAUGAUGCAGUCAAUGUUAGGGGUAUUUUAGUGAGCUCAGUUUUUUUUUUUUAAGAGAUGGGUCUCACUAUGUUGCCCAGGCUGGUCUCGAACUCCUGGUCUUAUGGGAUCCUCCCACCUUGGCCUCCCAAAGUGCUGGGAUUACAGGCGUGAGCCACCGCACCCCGCCAGUGAGCACAGCUGACAACAAGCUGCUUUUCAGGUCCGUGAUAAAAGGAAAAUAUUAUAAGAUUAAUGAGAUUUACUAAUUAGAUAUACUCGCUGAUAAUGUGUUUUAUUUUAAUGAAAAGCCAUGAGAUUUAUAAGUACCCUCCUCUGCAUCAAAACAAUAAACCUGAAAUCCUAAAG
rnacentral:lncRNA from 1 species